rfam:Desulfotignum phosphitoxidans DSM 13687 Dpo_3c, whole genome shotgun sequence.
UUGAGCCGGAUGAGGUGAAAGUCUCAUGUCCGGUUCUUAGGGGGCUUGGGGCUGGCAACAGCCCCCGGCCACCCGAC